UGCCCACAUCUCGUUGAAACACUGGUUCCUGUAUGAUCACUGAAGUUAAGCAACAUUGAGUCUGGUCAGUACAUAGAUGGGUGACUGCUUGGGAAUACCAAGUACUGUAA